UACAGAGGGGGCAAGCGUUGUUCGGAAUUACUGGGCGUAAAGGGCGCGUAGGCGGCCCGCUAAGUCGAACGUGAAAUCCCCGAGCUCAACUCGGGAACUGCGUCCGAUACUGGCGGGCUUGAAUCCGGGAGAGGGAUGCGGAAUUCCAGGUGUAGCGGUGAAAUGCGUAGAUAUCUGGAGGAACACCGGUGGCGAAGGCGGCAUCCUGGACCGGCAUUGACGCUGAGGCGCGAAAGCUAGGGGAGCGAACGGG
rnacentral:rRNA from 1 species